AUGAAUUGCGAUAUUCGUGAAUCAUCGAAUCUUUGAACGCACAUUGCGACCCUCUGGUAUUCCGGAGGGCAUGCCUGUUUGAGCGUCGUU
rnacentral:rRNA from 1 species